AUUGAACGCUGGCGGCAGGCUUAACACAUGCAAGUCGAGCGAGCGGCGGACGGGUGAGUAAUGUCUGGGAAACUGCCUGAUGGAGGGGGAUAACUACUGGAACCGGUAGCUAAUACCGCAUACCAUCAGAUGUGCCCAGAUGGGAUUAGGUAGCAGGUGGGGUAAUGGCUCACCUAGGCGUCGAUCCCUAGCUGGUCUGAGAGGAUGACCAGCCACACUGGGACUGAGACACGGUCCAGACUCGUACGGGAGGCAGCAGUGGGGAAUAUUGCACAAUGGGCGCAAGCCUGAUGCAGCCAUGCCGCGUGUGUGAAGAAGGCUUACGGGUUGUAAAGCACUUUCAGCGAGGAGGCGGUACUCGCAGAAGAAGCACCGGCUAACUCCGUGCCAGCCGCCGCGGUAAUUC
rnacentral:rRNA from 1 species